UACAGAGGUCUCAAGCGUUGUUCGGAUUCAUUGGGCGUAAAGGGUGCGUAGGUGGCGCUGUAAGUCGGGUGUGAAAUUUCGGAGCUUAACUCCGAAACUGCAUUCGAUACUGCGGUGCUUUGAGGACUGGAGAGGAGACUGGAAUUCAUGGUGUAGCAGUGAAAUGCGUAGAGAUCAUGAGGAAGACCAGUGGCGAAGGCGGGUUGCUGGGCUGAUACUGACGCUGAUGCGCGAAAGCCAGGGGAGCGAACGGG
rnacentral:rRNA from 1 species